UGUUUCGGGGCCAUCAGCCUCCAGUACACGAUAUUACCUGUAUGACCAGGACAGAGGAGGAUAAAGGAGGAGCUACUGGGACUAAAACGGGACAGAUUUGUAUCUGGAACUUGUACAGAAAGAGAAUCAAUGGAGAAUUUGUGGAAUGGAGUCUGGAGAGAGGGACAGGAUUGUCAGUCUUAGUAAAAAUGGGUUCAUAGCAUUGUGGGAUGGUAAAGAUGGGAUGCGUCUUAAGACUGUCAAUAAUCUUGGAAAUGGAAUGCAUUAUGGAAUAAAGCUGCAGGUGUGGAGUCUAUCAUUGGUAAGCUUCAUUGAGAGGAAGGUUCUGCUGCUCCUGAUUUCAAGUCUCAUUUCACUGGCUGUCUCUCUGACUCAUGGCAGUCCCCAGCCACUUCUUGUUCCCUUAUUGACUCAGUUGUCAGUUAUCAUAUUCCUGGGAAUUCCCAACCAUUGCAAUCAUUACAUGCUCAAUGGGACAUGGCCACAAAUUGUCAAAUUGAAACCUGCCAAUCAACAAAAUUCACCAAAUCACUCCCUCCAAUAUUAUCAGCCUUAC
rnacentral:misc_RNA from 1 species